UACGUAGGGUGCGAGCGUUAAUCGGAAUUACUGGGCGUAAAGCGUGCGCAGGCGGUGAUGUAAGACCGAUGUGAAAUCCCCGGGCUUAACCUGGGAACUGCAUUGGUGACUGCAUCGCUCGAGUAUGGCAGAGGGAGGUGGAAUUCCGCGUGUAGCAGUGAAAUGCGUAGAUAUGCGGAGGAACACCGAUGGCGAAGGCAGCCUCCUGGGAUAACACUGACGCUCAUGCACGAAAGCGUGGGGAGCAAACAGG
rnacentral:rRNA from 1 species